AGGGAUUUAGCUCAGUGGUGUAAGCGCCUGCCUUGCAAGUAUGAGGCUGAGUUUAAUCCCUG
rnacentral:tRNA from 1 species